rnacentral:rRNA from 1 species
GAUGAACGCUGGCGGCGUGCUUAACACAUGCAAGUCGAACGAAGCACCUUAUUUGAUUUUCUUCGGAACUGAAGAUUUGGUGACUGAGUGGCGGACGGGUGAGUAACGCGUGGGUAACCUACCCUGUACAGGGGGAUAACAAUCAGAAAUGACUGCUAAUACCGCAUAAGACCACAGCACCGCAUGGUGCAGGGGUAAAAACUCCGGUGGUACAGGAUGGACCCGCGUCUGAUUAGCUGGUUGGUGAGGUAACGGCUCACCAAGGCGACGAUCAGUAGCCGGCUUGAGAGAGUGAACGGCCACAUUGGGACUGAGACACGGCCCAAACUCCUACGGGAGGCAGCAGUGGGGAAUAUUGCACAAUGGGGGGAACCCUGAUGCAGCGACGCCGCGUGAGUGAAGAAGUAUCUCGGUAUGUAAAGCUCUAUCAGCAGGGAAGAAAAUGACGGUACCUGACUAAGAAGCCCCGGCU